GACGAACGCUGGCGGCGUGCCUAAUACAUGCAAGUCGAACGCACAGUCUAUACCGUAGCUUGCUACACCAUAGGCUGUGAGUUGCGAACGGGUGGGUAACGCGUAGGUAAUCUGCCUAUUAGAGGGGGAUAACUCUUGAACACGAUAGCUAAUACCGCCUCACAGUCUUUAAUCAAUGUUAGAUGCUUGAAAGAUGCAAUUGCAUCGCUAGUAGCUGGACCUGCGUUGUAUUAGCUAGUAGGUAGGCUAAUGGGCUUCCUAGGCGACGAUACAUAGCCGACCCGAGGGGGCGGUCGGCCACCCUGGGACCGAGAACCGGCCCCGACUCCUACGGGAAGCAGCAGGAGGGAAUCUUCGGGAAUGGGGGGAACGCGGACCGGGCAACGCCGCGGGAGGGAAGAAGGUUUUCGGAUCGGAAAGCUCUGUUGUUAAGGGAGAACGAGAGUUAUAAUGGAAAGUUCAUACUGUGACGGUACUUAAACAGAAAGCGACGGCUAACUACGUG
rnacentral:rRNA from 1 species